UACGUAGGGGGCAAGCGUUGUCCGGAUUUAUUGGGCGUAAAGAGCUCGUAGGCGGCUUGGCAAGUCGGGUGUGAAAACUCCAGGCUCAACCUGGAGAUGCCACUCGAGACUGCUAUGGCUAGAGUCCGGUAGGGGACCACGGAAUUCCUGGUGUAGCGGUGAAAUGCGCAGAUAUCAGGAGGAACACCGGUGGCGAAGGCGGUUCUCUGGGCAUGUCCUGACGCUGAGGAGCGAAAGCGUGGGGAGCAAACAGG
rnacentral:rRNA from 1 species